rnacentral:lncRNA from 1 species
GAGCUUAGUGGUUUCAACUUCAGAUUUCAUUUCUCAGCCUUUUUUCUUGUUAAGCUACAUGCUUUUCUGUCUUAGCUAAGGAUGCUUGACAAGUACUUUGCCAAAACAUGCAGUGAAAUGAACACACCCUCAUCUUCAGAGAAAGAACACUCCUUUUUAUUCCACGGAAACCAUAAUUCCCAAGCCAGUGAGAUUAUCUGUGGUCUUUUCUCUUUAUCCCCUCCUUUUGCCCUUUAGGGGAGAGAAGAGUGUGGAGGGAGGAAUCGGGGAAGCCCAGUGCCGUACUGAUGCUCUGGACUUUGUUUUUGGAGGUAGCCUGUGAUGCAGGGCAGAAAAGAGCUGAUGCCUUGGAGAGAGACUGGGAGAGGCUGGAGUUAAUAGAGGGUCCCAGGGUAUCCAAGAAGCUGUCAUCCAGGUCUUCUCCAAUGAAGCUACAACAACCCACAGAGCCAGCAGGGGAACCUACACCUUCGAUGUCAUAUAUGAGCAAACAGUCAUUAGAUGGGCGUCCUUCAUCUUCAUCUGCAUGGAGUGAAUAUGAUGAUUCUGUGAAGGUUUAUUGCAACAUGACUUUUUCAGCACAGCAACAGGAAAAUUUGACUCUGGGUCUGUUCUACAAAAUUAAAGCUUUCUCAGCACAAAAAACAGCAUAGACUGUGAGUGAUGGCGGCCAUCUUGGUUCAUGUGUAAAGACUGAAUUUCAGUGACUACCAACGGCUAUUUCUUAGAAUGUGGCACUUACCCUGGGUUCAGGCUGUGGUCCUUCUACUGCCCAUGAAUGAAUUGCUCCAUCUGAACAUUCGGGAACAGGCUCAAAGCCAGCUGCACUACGAGGAGCACCUCCACAAUCACAACAGAUCAUCAAAAAUGGGACCACUGGUGGUGGAGGGAUAGUAAUACUAGAGUUAGCACUGGGUGCAAAUAAAAAACAAAACAACCUGAUUUUUUAUGGUUAAAUUUGAAUUCGUAAUAUAAUUCUGGUUGGUUCUAAAAUUAUGAAAGUUUCAGAAUACAAGCUGAAUGAUGGUCAGACCCCAAAGUAAAUGGGAGCUUCUGUAUAUUAGACUGCAGUCAAUUUUAGUUUAUUUUAUAGUAUUAAAAAUUACAAAUAGUGGGCCUGGCAUGGUGGCUCACACCUGUAAUUCCAGCACUUUGGGAGGUGGAAGUGGGUGGAUCACUAGAGCCCAGGAGCUUGAGACAAGCCUGAGCAACAUGGUGAAACCCUAUCUCUACCAAAAAAUACAAAAAUUAGGCGUGUAUGGGGGCUUUUGCCUGCAGUCUUAGCUACUCUGGAGGCUGAGGUGGGAGGAUGGCUUGAGCCAGGGAGGUUGAGGCUGCUCAACCAGGGAGGUGGGCGGUGGUUGUGCCACUGCACUCCAGCCUGAGUGACAGAGUGAGACCCUCUCUCAAAAAAAAAAAAAAAAAAAUCACAGAUAGUAUUACAUUAUUAAAACCGAUUAAUCUUUCCAUGUCAUUAUUUAGGAAAAUAUUAAAGGAGAGAACAAGGAAAGAUGAAAAGUCGUGGGAUGCUCGUGAAUUAAGAAACAACCAAAAAUGCCAAAUAUUGAGACUCUUGAAAUCAAAUUAAGUAUGAUCUGAGAUUAAGAACUUCUGAGAAGAAUUUAAGCAUGAACAUAUAUAUUGACAUGAAGUCCACUU